rnacentral:rRNA from 1 species
UACGUAGGGUGCGAACGUUGUCCGGAAUUAUUGGGCGUAAAGCGCGCGCAGGCGGUCCUUUAAGUCUGAUGUGAAAGCCCACGGCUCAACCGUGGAGGGUCAUUGGAAACUGGGGGACUUGAGUGCAGAAGAGGAAAGCGGAAUUCCACGUGUAGCGGUGAAAUGCGUAGAGAUGUGGAGGAACACCAGUGGCGAAGGCGGCUCUCUGGGACGGUACUGACGCUGAGACGCGAAAGCGUGGGGAGCAAACAGG